ACAAGCGGUGGAGUAUGUGGUUAAUUCGAUGCAACGCGAAGAACUUACCUGGUCUUGACAUCCCGGAGACCCUUAGGAAACUAGGGGUGCUUCCAUCUGGAAGAAUCUGGAGACAGGUGCUGCAUGGCUGUCGUCAGCUCGUGUCGUGAGAUGUUGGGUUAAGUCCCGCAACGAGCGCAACCCUUGCCUUUAGUUGCCAGCAGUUCGGCUGGGCACUCUAAAGGGACUGCCGGUGUUAAACCGGAGGAAGGUGGGGGAUGACGUCAAGUCCUCAUGGCCUUUAUGACCAGGGCUACACACGUACUACAAUGGCCGAUACAAAGGGCAGCGACACUGCGAGGUGAAGCCAAUCCCGUAAAAUCGGUCUCAGUCCGGAUUGGAGUCUGCAACUCGACUCCAUGAAGUUGGAAUCGCUAGUAAUCGUGGAUCAGCAUGCCACGGUGAAUACGUUCCCGGGCCUU
rnacentral:rRNA from 1 species